rnacentral:hammerhead_ribozyme from 1 species
AAGCGAAACGCCCGUCAGGGCGUAUGCCGGGCGUGGUUGUCCGGUACUGAUGAGCAGCCAACA